CGGGCGGGGGUCGGCUGGACGUCGACCGUGGUCUCGUCGCGGGUGACGGUGACGUGGUCGUCCACCUGGGUCGCGUCCUGGUAGCCCGC
rnacentral:tRNA from 1 species